GACGAACGCUGGCGGCGUGCCUAAUACAUGCAAGUAGAACGCUGAAGGAGGAGCUUGCUUCUCUGGAUGAGUUGCGAACGGGUGAGUAACCCGUAGGUAACCUGCCUGGUAGCGGGGGAUAACUAUUGGAAACGAUAGCUAAUACCGCAUAAGAGUAGAUGUUGCAUGACAUUUGCUUUAAAGGUGCAAUUUCCUCACUACCAGAUGGACCUGCGUUGUAUUAGCUCGUUGGGGGGGGAACGGCUCACCAAGGCGACCCUACAUAGCCGACCUGAGAGGGGGAUCGGCCACACUGGGACUGAGACACGGCCCAGACUCCUACGGGAGGCAGCAGUAGGGAAUCUUCGGGAAUGGACGGAAGUCUGACCGAGCAACGCCGCGGGAGGGAAGAAGGGUUUCGGAUCGUAAAGCUCUGUUGUAAGAGAAGAACGAGUGUGAGAGUGGAAAGUGCACACUGUGACGGUAUCUUACCAGAAAGGGACGGCUAACUACGUG
rnacentral:rRNA from 1 species